rnacentral:rRNA from 1 species
UACGUAGGGACCAAGCGUUGUUCGGAUUUACUGGGCGUAAAGGGCGCGUAGGCGGUCUGUCGCGUCUGCUGUGAAAACUCAGGGCUUAACCCUGAGCCUGCUUCCGAUACGGGCUGACUAGAGGUAUGCAGGGGAGAACGGAGUUCCUGGUGUAGCGGUGAAAUGCGCAGAUAUCAGGAGGAACACCGGUGGCGAAGGCGGUUCUCUGGGCAUUACCUGACGCUGAGGAGCGAAAGUGUGGGGAGCGAACAGG